UACGUAGGGUGCAAGCGUUGUCCGGAAUUAUUGGGCGUAAAGAGCUCGUAGGCGGUCUGUCGCGUCUGCCGUGAAAACCCGAGGCUUAACCUUGGGCUUGCGGUGGAUACGGGCGGACUUGAGGUAGGUAGGGGAGAAUGGAAUUCCCGGUGUAGCGGUGAAAUGCGCAGAUAUCGGGAGGAACACCGGUGGCGAAGGCGGUUCUCUGGGCCUUACCUGACGCUGAGGAGCGAAAGCGUGGGGAG
rnacentral:rRNA from 1 species